GACAGAGGUGCCGAGCGUUAGGCGGAAUCACUGGGCUUAAAGCGUGUGUAGGCGGGCCGUUAAGUGCCCCGUGAAAUCCCCCGGCUCAACCGGGGAACGGCGGGGCAUACUGGCGGCCUUGAGGCACCCAGGGGCGAGCGGAACAGGCGGUGGAGCGGUGAAAUGCGUAGAUAUCGGGAGGAACACCUGUGGCGAAAGCGGCGCACUGGACCACAACUGACGCUGAGGCGCGAAAGCUAGGGGAGCAAACAGG
rnacentral:rRNA from 1 species